rnacentral:rRNA from 1 species
UUGACGGGGGCCCGCACAAGCGGCGGAGCAUGCGGAUUAAUUCGAUGCAACGCGAAGAACCUUACCUGGGUUUGACAUGGAUUGGUAACGGUCAGAGAUGGCCGCCCCCCUUGUGGGCCGGUUCACAGGUGGUGCAUGGCUGUCGUCAGCUCGUGUCGUGAGAUGUUGGGUUAAGUCCCGCAACGAGCGCAACCCUCGUCCACUGUUGCCAGCAUUUGGUUGGGGACUCAGUGGAGACCGCCGGGGUCAACUCGGAGGAAGGUGGGGAUGACGUCAAGUCAUCAUGCCCCUUAUGUCCAGGGCUUCACGCAUGCUACAAUGGCCGGUACAAAGAGUGGCGACAUCGUGAGGUGGAGCGAAUCUCAGAAAGCCGGUCUCAGUUCGGAUUGGGGUCUGCAACUCGACCCCAGAAGUCGGAGUCGCUAGUAAUCGCAGAUCAGCAACGCUGCGGUGAAUACG